rnacentral:tRNA from 1 species
GGUCAGGUAGCUCAGUUGGUAGAGCGGCGGUCUGAAAAACCGUAGGUCGGCGGUUCAAUUCCGCCCCUGACCA